CCUUCUUUUUCCUUCUUUCCUCGGAAUUACUGGGCGUAAAGCGUGCGCAGGCGGUUUGCUAAGACAGGUGUGAAAUCCCCGGGCUUAACCUGGGAAUUGCGUUGGAGACUGCAAGGCUGGAAUCUGGCAGAGGGGGGUAGAAUUCCACGUGUAGCAGUGAAAUGCGUAGAGAUGUGGAGGUACACCGAUGGCGAAGGCAGCCCCCUGGGUCAAGAUUGACGCUCAUGCACGAAAGCGUGGGGAGCAAACAGGA
rnacentral:rRNA from 1 species